CCUACGGGUGGCAGCAGUGAGGAAUAUUGGUCAAUGGACGAGAGUCUGAACCAGCCAAGUAGCGUGAAGGAUGACUGCCCUAUGGGUUGUAAACUUCUUUUAUAUGGGAAUAAAAUGUUCCACGUGUGGGAUUUUGUAUGUACCAUAUGAAUAAGGAACGGCUAAAUCCGUGCCAGCAGCCGCGGUAAUACGGAGGAUCCGAGCGUUAUCCGGAUUUAUUGGGUUUAAAGGGAGCGUAGGUGGAUUGUUAAGUCAGUUGUGAAAGUUUGCGGCUCAACCGUAAAAUUGCAGUUGAAACUGGCAGUCUUGAGUACAGUAGAGGUGGGCGGAAUUCGUGGUGUAGCGGUGAAAUGCGUAGAUAUUACGAAGAACUCCGAUUGCGAAGGCAGUUCACUGGACUGCAACUGACACUGAGGCUCGAAAGUGUGGGUAUCAAACAGGAUUAGAUACCCGUGUAGUC
rnacentral:rRNA from 1 species